AUUGAACGCUGGCGGCAUGCCUUACACAUGCAAGUCGAACGGCAGCACGGGAGCAAUCCUGGUGGCGAGUGGCGAACGGGUGAGUAAUAUAUCGGAACGUGCCCAGUCGUGGGGGAUAACGUAGCGAAAGCUACGCUAAUACCGCAUACGAUCUAUGGAUGAAAGCGGGGGAUCGCAAGACCUCGCGCGAUUGGAGCGGCCGAUAUCAGAUUAGGUAGUUGGUGAGGUAAAGGACUCACCAAGCCGACGAUCUGUAGCUGGUCUGAGAGGACGACCAGCCACACUGGGACUGAGACACGGCCCAGACUCCUACGGGAGGCAGCAGUGGGGGAAUUUUUGGACAAUGGGCGCAAGCCUGAUCCAGCAAUGCCGCGUGAGUGAUGAAGGCC
rnacentral:rRNA from 1 species